AGAGAGAGUGUGUCUGAGAGAGUGUGAGAGAGAGAGAGAGAGAGAGCGUCAGAGUGUGUGAGAGAGUGUGAGAGAGUGUGUGAGAGAGAGUGUGUGUCUGAGAGUGUGUGAGAGAGAGAGUGUGUGAGAGAGAGAGUGUGUGAGAGAGAGAGUGUGUCUGAGAGAGAGUGUGUCUGAGAGAGAGUGUGUCUGAGAGAGUGUGUCUGAGAGAGUGUGUCUGAGAGAGUGUGUGAGAGAGAGAGUUGCUGAGAGAGUGUGUGAGAGAGAGAGAGUGUGUCUGAGAGAGUGUGUGAGAGAGAGUGUGUCUGAGAGAGUGUGUGAGAGAGAGAGUGUCUGAGAGAGUGUGUGAGAGAGAGAGUGUCUGAGAGAGUGUGUGAGAGAGAGUGUCUGAGAGAGUGUGUGAGAGAGAGAGAGUGUGUCUGAGAGAGUGUGUGAGAGAGAGAGUGUCUGAGAGAGUGUGUGAGAGAGAGAGUGUCUGAGAGAGUGUGUGAGAGAGAGUGUGUCUGAGAGAGUGUGAGAGAGAGAGAGAGUGUGUCUGAGAGAGUGUGAGAGAGAGAGAGAGAGUGAGUGUAGUGUAAAAGAAUCGAAAGCUCUGAAAAGUGAAUGUAACAGUUACAAAAAUAGAGACUUUUGACUUAUUCCACGCCUGCCACCCGUAUCCUCCCUCCAGACCUAGCCCAGGGGAAGUGUCACACUGGUGCCAAAACCUGGGACGGAGGAGGAUCACCGCCCUGGAGAUAAUGUUAAUUCCAUGUUAAUUCCCUUGCCGGCCUCCACGCUCCUGAAGCUCUUCGAGGGUGCUGCGGACGCGGGGGCUGGCCAGUGUCAAGUGGGCGGUCCUCCUGCUGCCACUAUUGUCGGGGAAGCCCAGCUCGCAACCCAACAGCUUCCGGUCCGUGAACCUGCUGCAGUACCUGGACUUAAAGUGGGCCAUUUUGCAACAGGUUGGCCACACCCCGAACAACACAAUCAGCACUUCUGCUCGCUGACGUUCCGUGAGCUCGGCGCCUGUUCACAUUUACCCAACGGCUCUGAGACACCUGUAGUGGACCUCAUGGUGCUGGAGUGGUUCGUUGCCCGACUACUGCUAGGUAUGGCGGAGUGGGUCCAGUGCACCAUCUGGCGUCGCUAGAUGAGGCAAUCCAGCUGGUGGAGGACCAUUUGGUGGUGUUUCCAG
ensembl:lncRNA